CCUACGGGGGGCUGCAGUGGGGAAUAUUGGACAAUGGGGGGAACCCUGAUCCAGCCAUGCCGCGUGUGUGAAGAAGGCCCUCGGGUUGUAAAGCACUUUCAGUGAGGAAGAACGCCUGGUGGUUAAUACCCAUCAGGAAAGACAUCACUCACAGAAGAAGCACCGGCUAACUCCGUGCCAGCAGCCGCGGUAAUACGGAGGGUGCGAGCGUUAAUCGGAAUUACUGGGCGUAAAGCGCGCGUAGGUGGCUUGAUAAGCCGGUUGUGAAAGCCCCGGGCUCAACCUGGGAACGGCAUCCGGAACUGUCAAGCUAGAGUGCAGGAGAGGAAGGUAGAAUUCCCGGUGUAGCGGUGAAAUGCGUAGAGGUCGGGAGGAAUACCAGUGGCGAAGGCGGCCUUCUGGACUGACACUGACACUGAGGUGCGAAAGCGUGGGUAGCAAACAGGAUUAGAUACCCUGGUAGUC
rnacentral:rRNA from 1 species